UACGUAGGGACCAAGCGUUGUUCGGAUUUACUGGGCGUAAAGGGCGCGUAGGCGGCGCGGUAAGUCACUUGUGAAAUCUCUGAGCUUAACUCAGAACGGCCAAGUGAUACUGCAGUGCUAGAGUGUGGAAGGGGCAAUCGGAAUUCUUGGUGUAGCGGUGAAAUGCGUAGAUAUCGGGAGGAACACCGGUGGCGAAGGCGGCCUUCUGGACGGAUACUGACGCUGAGGCGCGAAAGCGUGGGGAGCAAACAGG
rnacentral:rRNA from 1 species